UAGUUCAUGACCCCAGGAUAAGGAAGGCCCUAUUAACUAGGAAAAACAAAAACAAAAAUGGUAGUGUAAUCAAAAAAUACAUUUA